rnacentral:rRNA from 1 species
GACGAACGCUGGCGGCAUGCCUAACACAUGCAAGUCGAGCGUGCAGAUCCCUUCGGGGUGAAGCUAGCGGCGGACGGGUGAGUAACACGUGGGCCACCUGCCUCAUAGAGGGGAAUAGCCUUCCGAAAGGAAGAUUAAUACCGCAUAAGAUUGUAGCUUCGCAUGAAGCAGCAAUUAAAGGAGCAAUCCGCGAUGAGCUGGGCCCGCGGCGCAUUAGCUAGUUGGUGAGGUAACGGCUCACCAAGGCGACGAUGCGUAGCCGACCUGAGAGGGUGAUCGGCCACAUUGGGACUGAGACACGGCCCAGACUCCUACGGGAGGCAGCAGUGGGGAAUAUUGCACAAUGGGGGAAACCCUGAUGCAGCAAUGCCGCGUGAGUGAUGACGGACUUCGGGUUGUAAAGCUCUGUCUUCGGGGACGAUAAUGACGGUACCCGAGGAGGAAGCCACGGCUAACUACGUGCCAGCCGCCGCCGUAA